CUACGGGCGGCAGCAGUGAGGAAUAUUGGUCAAUGGGCGAGAGCCUGAACCAGCCAAGUCGCGUGCAGGAAGACUGCCCUAUGGGUUGUAAACUGCUUUUGUAUGAGAGUAAAGUGCUAUACGUGUAUAGUUUUGCAAGUAUCAUACGAAUAAGGAUCGGCUAACUCCGUGCCAGCAGCCGCGGUAAUACGGAGGAUUCGAGCGUUAUCCGGAUUUAUUGGGUUUAAAGGGUGCGUAGGCGGGAUUUUAAGUCAGUGGUGAAAGUUUGCGGCUCAACCGUAAAAUUGCCAUUGAUACUGAAGUUCUUGAGUACAAAUGAGGUAGGCGGAAUGUGUUGUGUAGCGGUGAAAUGCAUAGAUAUAACACAGAACACCAAUUGCGAAGGCAGCUUACUGGAAUGUAACUGACGCUGAGGCACGAAAGCGUGGGGAUCAAACAGGAUUAGAUACCCGCGUAGUC
rnacentral:rRNA from 1 species